UACAGAGGGUGCAAGCGUUAUUCGGAAUUACUGGGCGUAAAGGGCGCGUAGGCGGUUUAUUAAGUCAGAUGUGAAAACCCUGGGCUUAACUUAGGAAUUGCAUUUGAAACUGAUCGACUAGAGUUUGGGAGAGGGAAGUGGAAUUUCCGGUGUAGCGGUGAAAUGCGUAGAUAUCGGAAGGAACAUCAGUGGCGAAGGCGACUUCCUGGCCCGAUACUGACACUGAGGAGCGAAAGCGAGGGGAGCAAACGGG
rnacentral:rRNA from 1 species